rnacentral:rRNA from 1 species
GCAUGUUCACAUGAUUAAAGGUAUUCCGGUAGACGAUGGGGAUGCGUUCCAUUAGAUAGUAGGCGGGGUAACGGCCCACCUAGUCUUCGAUGGAUAGGGGUUCUGAGAGGAAGGUCCCCCACAUUGGAACUGAGACACGGUCCAAACUCCUACGGGAGGCAGCAGUGAGGAAUAUUGGUCAAUGGGCGAGAGCCUGAACCAGCCAAGUAGCGUGAAGGAUGACUGCCCUAUGGGUUGUAAACUUCUUUUAUAAAGGAAUAAAGUCGGGUAUGCAUACCCGUUUGCAUGUACUUUAUGAAUAAGGAUCGGCUAACUCCGUGCCAGCAGCCGCGGUAAUACGGAGGAUCCGAGCGUUAUCCGGAUUUAUUGGGUUUAAAGGGAGCGUAGAUGGAUGUUUAAGUCAGUUGUGAAAGUUUGCGGCUCAACCGUAAAAUUGCAGUUGAUACUGGAUAUCUUGAGUGCAGUUGAGGCAGGCGGAAUUCGUGGUGUAGCGGUGAAAUGCUUAGAUAUCACGAAGAACUCCGAUUGCGAAGGCAGCCUGCUAAGCUGCAACUGACAUUGAGGCUCGAAAGUGUGGGUAUCAAACAGGAUUAGAUACCCUGGUAGUCCACACGGUAAACGAUGAAUACUCGCUGUUUGCGAUAUACAGCAAGCGGCC